UCGCGACAACCACCAUCACGACGAUUACCACCGGAACCUUAAGUUGCGGGGCGGGCUGACGCAUAUCACGAACACAAUCACAAGCCCGUAUCCCACAAGAUACGGGCUUUUUUUUG
rnacentral:sRNA from 1 species